GACGAACGCUGGCGGCGUGCUUAACACAUGCAAGUCGAGCGGAAAGGCUCCUUCGGGGGUACUCGAGCGGCGAACGGGUGAGUAACACGUGAGUAAUCUGCCCUGCGCUCUGGGAUAGCCACCGGAAACGGUGAUUAAUACCGGAUAUGACCGCUACACGCAUGUGUUGGUGGUGGAAAGUUUUUCGGCGCAGGAUGUGCUCGCGGCCUAUCAGCUUGUUGGUGAGGUAAUGGCUCACCAAGGCUUUGACGGGUAGCCGGCCUGAGAGGGUGACCGGCCACACUGGGACUGAGACACGGCCCAGACUCCUACGGGAGGCAGCAGUGGGGAAUAUUGCACAAUGGGCGCAAGCCUGAUGCAGCAACGCCGCGUGAGGGAUGACGGCCUUCGGGUUGUAAACCUCUCUCAGCAGGGAAGAAGCGAAAGUGACGGUACCUGCAGAAGAAGCACCGGCUAACUACGUGCCAGCAGCCGCCGUAAUAC
rnacentral:rRNA from 1 species